rnacentral:rRNA from 1 species
GACGAACGCUGGCGGCGUGCUUAACACAUGCAAGUCGAACGGUAAGGCCUUUCGGGGUACACGAGUGGCGAACGGGUGAGUAACACGUGGGUGAUCUGCCCUGCACUUUGGGAUAAGCCUGGGAAACUGGGUCUAAUACCGAAUAGGACCAUGGACUUCACGGUUUGUGGUGGAAAGCUUUUGCGGUGUGGGAUGGGCCCGCGGCCUAUCAGCUUGUUGGUGGGGUAAUGGCCUACCAAGGCGACGACGGGUAGCCGGCCUGAGAGGGUGACCGGCCACACUGGGACUGAGAUACGGCCCAGACUCCUACGGGAGGCAGCAGUGGGGAAUAUUGCACAAUGGGCGCAAGCCUGAUGCAGCGACGCCGCGUGAGGGAUGACGG